rnacentral:rRNA from 1 species
UAGGGAAUAUUGGUCAAUGGGCGCAAGCCUGAACCAGCCAUGCCGCGUGCAGGACGACGGCCCUCCGGGUUGUAAACUGCUUUUGCACGGGAAUAAACCCAUGUUUUUUAACAUGGCUGAACGUACCGUGAGAAUAAGGAUCGGCUAACUCCGUGCCAGCAGCCGCGGUAAUACGGAGGAUCCGAGCGUUAUCCGGAUUUAUUGGGUUUAAAGGGUGCGUAGGCGGCCCGUUAAGUCAGGGGUGAAAGACGGUGGCUCAACCAUCGCAGUGCCCUUGAUACUGAUGGGCUUGGAUCGGCUGGAGGCAGGCGGAAUGUGGCAAGUAGCGGUGAAAUGCAUAGAUAUGCCACAGAACACCGAUUGCGAAGGCAGCUUGCUAUGGCCCGAUCGACGCUGAUGC